rnacentral:rRNA from 1 species
UCGGGAAUAUUGCGCAAUGGAGGAAACUCUGACGCAGUGACGCCGCGUGCAGGAAGAAGGUUUUCGGAUUGUAAACUGCUUUAGACAGGGACGAAAUAAAUGACGGUACCUGUAGAAUAAGCUCCGGCUAACUACGUGCCAGCAGCCGCGGUAAUACGUAGGGAGCAAGCGUUAUCCGGAUUUAUUGGGUGUAAAGGGUGCGUAGACGGAAAGACAAGUUAGUUGUGAAAUACCUCGGCUUAACUGAGGAACUGCAACUAAAACUAUCUAUCUUGAGUACUGGAGGGGAAAGCGGAAUUCCUAGUGUAGCGGUGAAAUGCGUAGAUAUUAGGAAGAACACCGGUGGCGAAGGCGGCUUUCUGGACAGAUACUGACACUGAGGUGCGAAAGCGUGGGUAGCAAACAGGAUUAGAUACCCUGGUAGU